rnacentral:rRNA from 1 species
AUUGAACGCUGGCGGCAUGCCUUACACAUGCAAGUCGAACGGUAGCACGGGAGCAAUCCUGGUGGCGAGUGGCGAACGGGUGAGUAAAGUAUCGGAACGUGCCCAGUCGUGGGGGAUAACGUAGCGAAAGUUACGCUAAUACCGCAUACGAUCUAUGGAUGAAAGCGGGGGAUCGCAAGACCUCGCGCGAUUGGAGCGGCCGAUAUCAGAUUAGGUAGUUGGUGGGGUAAAGGCUCACCAAGCCGACGAUCUGUAGCUGGUCUGAGAGGACGACCAGCCACACUGGGACUGAGACACGGCCCAGACUCCUACGGGAGGCAGCAGUGGGGAAUUUUGGACAAUGGGCGAAAGCCUGAUCUAGCCAUGCCGCGUGCAGGAUGAAGGCCUUCGGGUUGUAAACUGCUUUUGUACGGAACGAAAAGGUUUGGGCUAAUAAGCUGAGCUCAUGACGGUACCGUAAGAAUAAGCACCGGCUAACUACGUGCCAGCCGCCGCAGUAA